rnacentral:snoRNA from 13 species
UUGCAGUGAUGACAUCUUAGGACACCUUUGGAAUAGCCGUGAAAGCAAACUCUGCUGAGCAAC